CCUACGGGUGGCAGCAGUGAGGAAUAUUGGUCAAUGGGCGGAAGCCUGAACCAGCCAAGUAGCGUGCAGGAUGACGGCCCUACGGGUUGUAAACUGCUUUUAUACGGGAAUAACGCGCCUUACGUGUAGGGCUUUGCAUGUACCGUAUGAAUAAGGACCGGCUAAUUCCGUGCCAGCAGCCGCGGUAAUAAGGAGGGUCCGGGCGUUAUCCGGAUUUAUUGGGUUUAAAGGGAGCGUAGGCCGCAUGUCAAGCGUGCUGUGAAAUGUCCGGGCUCAACCCGGGCCUUGCAGCGCGAACUGGCGUGCUUGAGUCCGCGGAAAGCAGGCGGAAUUCGUCGUGGAGCGGUGAAAGGCUUAGAUAUGCCGAAGAACCCCGAUUGCGAAGGCAGCUUGCUGCAGCGGAACUGACGCUGAUGCUCGAAAGCGCGGGUAUCGAACAGGAUUAGAUACCCCAGUAGUC
rnacentral:rRNA from 1 species